UAAAGAUACAUAUAUUAGGGGUUGAGGGAUUCUCGUCGCAGGAGAGAUGGCACUAGCCGUACGUAGUAAUAUGUAUAUAUAUUGAAAUUUUAUGUUGGACGUCCAGCUUCCAUCACAUACAUAUAUAUAUAUAUAUAUAUAUUAUUGUAUGAUUGUAUGUAAUUGGGCACCACUUGCAGUAGCUAAAAAUUUUAUAUGUAUAUAUGUGUGUGUCAGUUUGUAUAUAUGGCAAACGUGUCUGCUGGUGCCAUCCUCACGCGACGAGUACCCCUGCACUUCCUCUGAUGGGCUUUCUCCAAUUUUGCUUAAUUAUAAAAGAGAGAAAAAGAAAGUUGGAGUACUUUGCCACCUCCAAUAUCCACACACACACACACACAUACAAACACACACAGACACACAGACACACACACACACAUAUAUAUAUAUAUAUAUACAGACACACACACACACACACAUAUAUAUAUAUAUGUACACACACACACACACACAAUCCUCAUGAAGAGUAGUACUAGUGGAGCAUCAAUAGCCGGGGUGGAUUAAUAAAGGGAUUAGAAAGGGUCUUUAGUCGCGGGAGAGAUGACGCCAAAUGUGAUUAAUUAUCGCUUAAUUAAACACAAAGCCCCUUUUGUUUUGUGGUUUUUUUGGUUUUUACCACCAGGCUUCAUCUCUCGUCGACUAAAGCCCCUCCAAUUUCUUACCCAUUUCUUCCUCAUCGUCUUUCCCAAAAGCUAGCCUUUCAGAAACAAGGUACUUACUCUCUCAUUUUCCUGAAUUUACUAUUAAUUUUACCAAUAUGUAUCUAAAAAUAGGAGUUUAUCUUAGCGGCUUAAUUUCUUAGAUUUUGAUAGGAACAAGAGAAAGGAAAAGAGAAAACAUGCUAUAAAUUGAUUCCAUUUGGUCUUGCCGACCAUGCAACCUGUAUGAGCUUGCAUAACAAGGAUUUUAGAUACAUCUGCAGCUUUGUGAAGGUUAUUUAGGGGGGGAGGGGAAAUCAAGCUGCAGAAACCCAUCCCGUUUGCGUGGUGUUGAUUUCUUUUUGUUUUAUUUUGUUAAAUAUAUUUUUAGGAAAUCAUAUAUAGAGAUUAUAUAUUUUUUUAUACAAAGUAAUUAAUUGCCUGUCUAGACGAAGGGUGACAUAUGAGGAUGUUUCGUUAACAUGAUUCAAUGCAAUGCUUUCAAUAGUUGAUC